GAUGAAGAACGUAGCGAAAUGCGAUACGUAAUGUGAAUUGCAAAUUCAGUGAAUCAUCGAGUCUUUGAACGCACAUUGCGCCCCCUGGUAUUCCGGGGGGCAUGCCUGUCCGAGCGUCAUUGCUGCCCUCAAGCACGGCUUGUGUGUUGGGCCCCGUCCUCCGAUCCCGGGGGACGGGCCCGAAAGGCAGGGGCGGCACCGCGUCCGGUCCUCGAGCGUAUGGGGCUUUGUCACCCGCUCUGUAGGCCCGGCCGGCGCUUGCCGAUCAACCCAAAUUUUUAUCCAGGUUGACCUCGGAUCAGGUAGGGAUACCCGCUGAACUUAAGCAUAUCAAUAAGCGGAGGA
rnacentral:misc_RNA from 1 species